rnacentral:rRNA from 1 species
GAUGAACGCUAGCUACAGGCUUAACACAUGCAAGUCGAGGGGAAACGACAUCGAAAGCUUGCUUUUGAUGGGCGUCGACCGGCGCACGGGUGAGUAACGCGUAUCCAACCUGCCCAUCACUUGGGAAUAACCUUGCGAAAGUAAGACUAAUACCCAAUGAUAUCCCACGAAGACAUCUGAAUGGGAUUAAAGAUUUAUCGGUGAUGGAUGGGGAUGCGUCUGAUUAGCUUGUUGGCGGGGUAACGGCCCACCAAGGCAACGAUCAGUAGGGGUUCUGAGAGGAAGGUCCCCCACAUUGGAACUGAGACACGGUCCAAACUCCUACGGGAGGCAGCAGUGAGGAAUAUUGAUCAAUGGGCGAGAGCCUGAACCAGCCAAGUAGCGUGCAGGAUGACGGCCCUAUGGGUUGUAAACUGCUUUUAUAAGGGAAUAAAGUGGGUCUCGUGAGACUUUUUGCAUGUACCUUAUGAAUAAGGACCGGCUAAUUCCGUG